rnacentral:lncRNA from 1 species
UCAUCUGCUGGAUGUCUGCUGGAUGUUUCACCUUGGAGAAGGCUUUUUGAGGCUAAGCUGUUUCUCAUGUUCAAAAGAGAUAUUGGUGUCUUCUUUGUAGCACUGUUAUAAAGAUGAAAUGUGGAAAUGUAGGUGAAGCCUUAGGAUAUGGCAGUGAUUGGUGUUAGUGUAGUCAUUCCCCCCUCAAACUGGUUAGAACUGAUUAUUUAUUUCUUUUGUUCCUAACUCUAAUCCCCUCUCUGGUGUUCCUGAUCCACAAGAGGCAUCCUGUUGUAUGUAGUGGCCACAUAACAGACUGCAAAGAACUGGAAAGCAGAGUAAUUUUAAUCCAAAAUGUUCAAAGGACCAAGACAAGUGGCAAGCCAUAUGAUGACUGACCAGAAACGUUAGAAAGAAUGGAAGAUGGUUUCCUGAAGCUUCGCUACUCUGGAGGUGGAAUGAAUUGUGCCAAAUGUCAACUUUUAUGGCUCAAUGAGCCCUUUCCUGAGCCUGUCAACAGUGAACUAAAGAAAUACAAUCUCUGUUUCUCCAGUCAACGGUAGAACAGUGCUUGCACUCCCGAUAUUUAUGGAUAUAUUUAUACAAUUCUCACAAACCUGACACCAAUGGCCUGGGAUCAAUGUAGACAAGUGGUAAAGAAAAACAGAAUGAUUCUCUGAAAGGAUGCAUAUUAAAAAAAAUAAAAGAUUUGUGUUCUGAAUGGCUUGUUUUGAGAAAAAGAUGUGCUUCAACUGAGAUCUACAUGAUGUAGCAAAUAAAAACAGGUAUGAAAAUCCCUUGAACUAAAUUUCACUGGAUUAACACAUCCG